CCCGCACGGCGCCCUCCUCGCGCACGAUGGAGCGCAGCGUGCUCAGGAUGGAGCCAUGCUGGUGGCCCGUGACGCCCGCCGUCUGCAUGCGCCGCCGCACCACGUCCAACGGGUAGGAGGCCGACUGUCCGAUGAGGCCCGCACACGCCCCGAAGAUCAUGCGCUCCAACGGGAAUGGAACCGAACAUCCUGACAAGCACUCUGCUACUGAGCAUCACCCCAGCCUGAGACAGGGGCGAGUUGUGGAACAAAGAAACUUGUAAGACAUCGAUCACUUAUGAGGAAUAUACAGUAGUGGCCCCUUAUCCGCAGUAGUGCCAGACCCCCUUAUGGGGGAACACAGCCCAAUCUCCACGGAUGCUGAACCCUAGAACAGUGCAAAGCCUGCAUAGACUACUUUCACCUACAGACUGUAUCUAUGAGUUUAAUUAUAAAUUACACCCUGCAAGAGGCUAAUAAUACUAAGCAGAAUAAUUGCACCAAUACUCUGGAACAAA